GUACCGGUGAAGAGUUUCAAAAUAGGACGAAACAGCUGUCCAGUAC
rnacentral:hammerhead_ribozyme from 1 species